rnacentral:rRNA from 1 species
AACGAACGCUGGCGGCAUGCCUAACACAUGCAAGUCGAACGAAACCUUCGGGCCUUGUUGCGCACGGGUGGGUAACGCGUGGGAACCUGCCCUUAGGUUCGGAAUAACUCCCCGAAGGGGGACCUAAUACCGGUUAGGGUCUUCGCGCCAAAGAUGUAUUGCGUUUGGAUGGGGGCUGGUUGGAUUAGCCAGUUGGUAGGGUAAAAGCCUACCAAGGAGACGUUCCUUAGCUGGUGUGAGAGGAUGAUCAGCUACACUUGAACUGAGACACGGCCUAGACCGCUACGCGGCGGAGGAGAAGAGAGUAUUGGACGAUGAGCGAUGGCCUGAUACCGCCAUGUCGGGGAAGAGAGGAAGGCGUUAGUGUUGUGAAGCUCUUUUUCACGAGACGAGAAUGACGGUACUGGGAGAAUAAGCACCGGCUAACUACGUG